UAAAGAGCAGACAAACAGUACCAUUUAGAUGACCCUUGAGCCAAGACACACUUACUGAGCCAGGUAAGGCUUUUAUCUGCUAGCAAAUGAGCCAGUCAUAAAGGCUUCAACGCUAUGUAAGAAUUUGCCCAAGGAAGACAAUUACCCCCUACAAAAGUGUUUUCCACAAAAUGCAGUAUUUGGCAGUGUACUCCUUUCCCCCAUGAUAUGGACUCACAUAAAGCACCUGAUUUAUGAUCAAGGCAGAUACACGUUAAAUCUGAAUUGUUUGGCUUAAAAUCCUUAAUCAUUAAUUGCUGACCUAUAAUUCCAAAACAAUAAAUCAUAAUUCUGCAUACUACAAAUGUUAGCAUUAGUGUGGCCAAAAAUGGCCAAGUACAUGAACAACUAACCAAAAGUGAAGCAAAUGAGCAUUAAGAGGGGAACGUAAACCAAAAUGCUCCCAAAGGCAAAAUAUGUGACUUAUUGUUACAGAAAAACAAAGGGACAGACUGAAAAAGUACUGAAUUUUAGACAGCAAAAUCCUUCAUUUGUAAAUAAAAUAAAAAAUGGCAGUAGAAGUACUUGAUUUACUAUGUAGUCUGCAAACAAGACUUGCUUAACAAGAACAGUACCUCAGCUGCAAAAGUGCACACAAGCUCCUGUAAACAGAGAACUCUUAAUGCGUUAGCACAUGUGCCUUGUUGAAGAGCAGCCCAGAAUUCAGCACAGGAUGUUUCCAACAAUUAUAUAGUUUGCUGUAUGAAGCUCACCAUGUUCCUAAACCCAUUUGUUCAUUUACACAUAAUCAUUUUGCUGAAUGUGUGAUAGUCCGAACGUACAUUAACUUGUGCCAAUCAUCUCAGUCCAAACAGUGAUCUAUUUUAAAACCUAAAUAUAUGCAAUGUUAAAGGUAAUGAGAGGCUGUUCAUUAGCUGACAUAAAUAAAGGUGUCAUUACUAAUACAGGUAUGAUCCCUACAGUGCAACUCACUUAAUGGCCAGUCAGAAAUGGGUUUGAAAUCCUGAAUCAAAAGAACUCCUGUAUUAUACUGCCUACAAAACCAGCUGAACGCCAAACAAAAUGUUCCUGAGUCAUUUCUGGAUGUUUUCAUUACAAACAACAUGAAUAAUUUUUGAAUAAACAUAGAAAAUAUACUCUGAAUAGAAAACACAUUACCUUCUGUUAAGAGAGAGAAUCUGUAUUCCUAUCACAAGCAUUUCCCAACAUCAAAAAUUUAUCUAAAAACACCAAGUAAAUUUGAGAAGAGGACGGAGUAGUUAAUUUGCUCAAACAAAUGUUCAUUUAAGAUUCAUAUUAAGCAGACCUUAAUAAUUUUGGUCAACUAAAGUGAAAGGAAUGAUUCAAUAUAAUUCUAUUUAUCUUUGGAAAAGAAAUUACGACAUUUAAAUAUUGCAAUUAUGGCUACAUUCAAAUAUGUCAAAAUAAUAUUUUUUUGAGUGGCCAGUCUAGGCAGCUCAACCUCCAUCUCCCACCACAAACUGAGCAUCACCAGGCAUGAAUGUAUCCACACAGUUUCCAUAAAAUUCAUUCUCUGAAAGGCCACAUGAAUGAAAGAUGUCACUGUUAUUAAGAUGGUCCCUGUGGUCUGCUUAAUUUUAAAGAUGCUUCUUU